rnacentral:rRNA from 1 species
AAACCAACCGGGAUUGCCUCAGUAACGGCGAGUGAAGCGGCAAAAGCUCAAAUUUGAAAUCUGGCGGGCUUAGAUGACCGUCCGAGUUGUAAUUUGAAGAGCGGUCUUUGGAGAGGAACCUUGUCUAUGUUCCUUGGAACAGGACGUCACAGAGGGUGAGAACCCCGUGAGAUGAGGGAUACCGAUCUGUGUAAAGGCUGUUCGACGAGUCGAGUUGUUUGGGAAUGCAGCUCUAAGUGGGUGGUAAAUUCCAUCUAAAGCUAAAUAUUGGCGAGAGACCGAUAGCGAACAAGUACAGUGAUGGAAAGAUGAAAAGAACUUUGAAAAGAGAGUGAAAAAGUACGUGAAAUUGUUGAAAGGGAAGGUUAUUAGAUCAGACUUGGUGUGUGCGGAUAUUUGUUCUCUUGUAGGGCAUUCACUGCGCAUGCGCUGGGCCAGGGUGGAUUUUUCGGGGCGGGAUAAGAGCGGUGGGAAAGUGGCUUUGCCGAAUUUGGGAAAGUGUUAUAGCCUGCCGCGGAUGCCGCCACCGGGGAUCGAGGAAUGCGCGGGCCUUUGUUGGGUCAGCUAGGAUCCUGGCGUAAUGAUCUAAUAUCGC